ACGGCUGCACAUGAACCUGACAUCUGUCCACGAUCUGUCUGGGAUGUGAGCUCCAGGAAUCCCAGUCUGUUUGCUGCAGCGCGGGAUCUCCUGGGCCUGGAUAGGGUUUCUUAGCCUCAGCCCUAUUGACAGUUUGGACCAGAUAACUCCCCGUGGAGGGGGCUGCCCUGUGCCUUGUGAGAUGUCAGGCAGCACCCCUGGCCUCUACCCACUAUAUGCCAGCAGCACGGCCCCCCUUCCAAGUCGUGAUAGUUAAGAACUUCUCCAGAUUUUGCUGACUGUUCCCUGAGGGAGGGGCAAGGUCACCUUGGGUUGAGAACCACUGGCCAAGAAACAUUUAGCAUAGAGUAAACAUGCAUAUAUAUGGAGAGGAUGAAUUAACAGUGUUUAUUCGGAGUUCCUGUCCUGGCUCAGGGGUUAACAAACCCUACCAGUAUCCAUGAGGACGAGGGUUCGAUCCCUGGCCUCGGUCAGUGGGUUAAGGAUCUGGCAUUGCCAUGAUCUGUGUUGUAGAUUGCAGACACGGGUGGGUGUGAUCCAUGUUGCUGCAGCUGCUAGGGGUUGAAUCAGAGCUGUAGCUGCAGGCCUACGCCACAGCCACAGCCAGAGGAAUGAGGGAUCCAAGCCAUGUCUGCAACGUAUACCACACCGGAUCCUUAACCCACUGAGCGAGGCCAGGGAUCAAACCCACAUCCUCAUGGAUACUAGUCAGGCUUGUAACCUGCUGAACCACAGCGGGAACUCCCUAUUUGAGUGCUGUAUCCAGCUGCGUGUGUGGUUUUAUUCAGUCCUACAGCAGCUGAAUGUGGAGAUCCUAUCAGUGGCCCCAGUUUACAGGGAAGGGGCUUAGAGGCGUAAGGGGCAGGUCCUUCUUUGGAGCCCAGCCCUGCCUGACUCCAGAGCCCAACAGCCCAACCACUGCCCUGUUCUCUGCUCUUCAAUGGAGAAAAAGAGUCAGUGACUCUGGCCAGGGCUCUUAGGCACAGAGGCGUGCUGCCCAGGACCCUCCAGGACUGAAGGCCACUCCUCGCCAUGGGGAGGGCUGCUGGGACAGCCCUGGGCUCACAGCCGUCUUUGGAAAUUGCCUCUGCUCAAAAAGUAUCCAGGCUGAAGUCAUGUCCCCUCCCUAGGCAGCCCUUGCAACUACUAUAUAUAAAGAUAAAUAAGGACCUGCUGUGGAGCACAGGGAACUAUAUUCAAUGUCUUAUAAUAACCUAUCAUGGGAGUUCCCGUUGUGGCGCAGUGGUUAACGAAUCCGACUAGGAACCAUGAGGUUGUGGGUUCGGUCCCUGCCCUUGCUCAGUGGGUUAAGGAUCCGGCGUUGCCCUGAGCUGUGGUGUAGGUUGCAGACGUGGCUCGGAUCCCGAGUUGCUGUGCCUCUGGUGUAGGCUGGUGGCUACAGCUCCGAUUGGACCCCUAGCCUGGGAAUCUCCACAUGCCACGGGAGUGCCCCAAGAAAUAG
rnacentral:lncRNA from 1 species